CGAGUAUAUAAGCGCCUGUUCCUCCCAGUCUCCGCAUCAUUCUCCUUUUGCAAGGCAGAUCGAAGUGUCCCGAAAUUUCGAGCAACAUGGUGAGCUGCAAACUCCUGAUGGUGCUGGCGGUGCUGUUGGUGGUGCAGGUGAGCCUGGCCCUUGCGAGUCCCUGGGGCGGCGGAGUGCGACCUGUUUACGCACGACCCGCGGUGGUGGUUCGUCCUGUCGUGUACAGCGGCGGCUUUGAUCACGACGACGGCUUCGACAGCAACGAAUUCGACGACCGCAGGUACAGGUCGUGGUGAUCGCCCCUCCACUCCGCACCCGACCCUCCAGACGUUGGCUGAACUUCCAGAUGACUUUCCGUGGGACUUGUAGCGUUCCUUGAGGAUGCGAAUGAGCAUAAUAAACCUGUUGUGUCUA